UACGGGGGGUGCAAGCGUUAAUCGGAAUUACUGGGCGUAAAGGGUGCGUAGGUGGUUUGAUAAGUUAUCUGUAAAAGCCCUGGGCUCAACCUGGGAAGGCCAGAUAAAACUGUUGAACUAGAGUAUGGGAGAGGGUAGUGGAAUUUCCGGUGUAGCGGUGAAAUGCGUAGAGAUCGGAAGGAACACCAGUGGCGAAGGCGGCUACCUGGCCUGAUACUGACACUGAAGCACGAAAGCGUGGGGAGCAAAC
rnacentral:rRNA from 1 species